CUUCCUGACCCAGGGAUCUAGGUCUCUUGCAUCUCCUGCAUGGCAGGUGGAUUCUUUACUGCUGAGCCACUGGGGAAGCUCCUUAAGAGGGGUUAAUUGCAUGUGUUUGAAUUGUGUGAUCUAUGUUUAGUUUCUUCUCUGCCCCUCCUUCUGCCCUCUAGGUGUUGGUAUGUUUUGAUCCACUUGUCACUAUGUACUUAGCAUUGAUUUCUGUAGCAGUUUUCACUUGUGGACAGGUUAAUGUCGUGUGCGGUCAAAGGAACUGGUUUAGCUGUCCUGGGCAAGUCAUUUUGUGAAACUUGACUGUAAAAUGAAGGCUCUGGGGACCUUCUCUGGUGGUCCAGUGGUUAACUGCACUUCCGACAUAGGGGGCAUGAGUUCGAUCCCUGGUCGGUGAACUAAGAUCCCACAUGCUGCGUGGUGCAGCCAAAAAAUAAAAUAAAAUUUUAAAAAUAAUAAAUAAAAUACAGGUUUGGGUUAGCUAAGCAGGAACAAUUUCUAGAUCCUGGGAUUAUAAUCCUGGCUCUGAAUAAAGACCCUUGGGGGUUCUGGCUUUGAGCAUCCCGGUUUGGCUUUAAAGCACCUCUUGUUGGUUUUUUUUUGUUUUUUUUUUUUUUCUUUUGCUACAGUUUCCUUGGAUUACUCUUUUCAUUUUGCAGUGGAGCUAAAAGGCACAGAGAGAGUUAAGUGGCAUGAGCCCUGCUGUGUGACUCCAGGAAGACUGCAGUAGAGGUGUGCUAAGACCAACACAAGUGUCUGUGUCCAACAUGAGAUGUCAGGGACCAUCCUUGCUUCAGACAGGGAAACGCUCCCCUUGGGGAGCCCUUCACUAUGUUCUUCGUAAAUAACAGGGAUGGUGGAGACUGUGAGGAACUGAGUCAGGAGCCCUGGGUUGGGGUUCAAGCCCAGCCCCUAACUUGCUUCAUUCUUUAGGCACUGUUCUGUCACUAGUAAAAUGGGGGCUAUGUUCAGUAUUUCCUAUUUUUCACCUGUCCCCCUUUCUACUAACACAGAACACUCAUUGUCCUCUUUUUAUGUUACUUGCAAUUUGAAAUAAUUAAUUACACUUGAAGCCCAAUCAAUAAUUAUAUCUUGAAAGGAAAAAAAAAGGUUUUGUUUUGUUUGUAUUCUAUAAGGCACACAUUUUUAACCUUGAUCUUGUAACGUUCAGUGAGAGUGUGGGAUGGGCCUGUGUUUUUCAGUUUUUCUCUCCUGUGUGGUGUGUGGACCAUGGUGCUCAGGACUGGUCACUUUCAGUUCUGAGCCCAGCAAGCUGCUCUGUUGUGUGGAAACUCAGCUUGGCUAAUGCUUCACAUUGUAAUACUGCAUAUACUUUUCUGUGAAAUCCCUUCUACCCAAUGUCACCUUAAUGACUUGCAUUUUUCAAAAUGGGUGGUGACCAUUAGUGGGAGCCACAUUCUUAAAAAGCCAGGUUGGUGAGAGUACAAAAUAUUAACACAAGCAUGUGUGGCAUGCAGUAAGAAAUACUGUUGCUCUGUGACAGUCUGGGUUGUGUGUAUGUGUGUUCCCUGAGUGGCUGUGCUAAAUGUACCUCUGGCUAGGCCAAAAAGUCUGAGAAAACACUAAACCUCAUCAUCACUAACGUCUCUCGAGUUCCAGCAGUCAACAGCCUGUGAUUCUUAAGUGGGGAUUUAGAAGACUUUUGGCAACUUUUCCCCUCCUUCCCUUGGCCCCUCCGUGGUGGCAUAUGACUGCUUACUCAUCUGUAAAGGGACCGGCUGCCAGGACCUUGCAGUGGUCCCACGGGAGGGCGCGAGGGGACCCUGGAGGGCUGUCACCCAGAGGUCGCCACGACGUGUUCCAUGCCAGCUGGGGUUUUGCAGCCCCUCUGCCAUACCCCUCGCUCUCCCUGGUGCUCCAGAGGGGCCAGCGGCGUGGUCGCCUAGACCAGCACUUGGGGUGGACGUGAGAACCCCUGGUCCGGAGCGCUCAGGACUGUGGGGAGAAUGCCAGGUGGGUGGAGGAGGAAAUUCCAACCAGAUUAGGCACACCGCUCUCCGACCAUGCCGCGCGUCCCGCGGUGGCGAAAGCAGGGGCAGAAGGAAACAGGAAAGAUUUGAAGCGAGAGGACUUCCGCUGACCCUUCUCUUGCUUUGCUUCUCAGGGAAACGCAGUCCCUUUAAGCUCUGCUGGGGGAAGCCCUCCUGCCCCGCUAGGGUGCAGCCGGAUGGCAGGGCGCUGAGAGCCGGCCGAGCGGGUUGAGUCUAAGCCUUCUCUCUAGGAGCCGGUGGGUGCCGAGCCAGUUGGAAGCCUCGCUUGGCCUCGGGGGUUUCCGUCGCUGGCAGUGCUGAGCUCCGAGGAGCAGCAGCAGCGAGGCGGGCAGGUGCCAGGCAGCUCAGCGUUCCUCCACCUCUGACUCUGCUCAUCUUGGUCUCCGCAGUGCCAAGUGGGCUGCUAGGGUCCUCAGUACGGGACGGGGUGAAGAAGGCAGCUGCCAGCGUCCCUCCCACUCACUCCAGUGCUUUCAAAACCAUGCACAGCCCAGGAGAUGCCACUCGGCUUCGAAAGAGUGUGAAAUCCCAAGUUGCUCUCGUUUCUUGCGACAAAAGUACAGUGAUUUUUCAGUCUCCUUCCGAUCCUGCCCUUCCCUUCUUCUCCAUCCUCCUUCAGUGGGAAGGAGCACUUUUCUAUAAGGUGGAUCUGGGAGUGGCGUGGAUUCCAGCGAGGAAUUCUUCUUGAACUUCUGUACUGUUGUUCGUUUCAUGAACGCGCAGGCCGCGUGCUGACGCCCAGGGCUGGGGUCUGCUGGAGGAGUGGGGGCAGGGAUCUGAUCCCAGAGACAGCGCUUGGGCCCCCACGUGGCCACUUUCCUGCCUGCCGCUGGCCCCCUCUGUCCGGAAAUGGGGGAGGGCGAGGCCAGGGCAGAGGGCUUGGAGGGGAGUCCCUGAGAUUACAGCGGGCAGCCAAGGCGGCCUCAGAUCUUCAAUAGGGCGAGGCACUGGGGCUAACUUGGAGGAGGGGUUCAAUUACAUUGUUCAAAUCACGCCUUAGGGCGCACAAGGGGUGGGGGGCGUGCCCUUGAGGUAGGGGCUUGUCACGUGAGUCAGGGGGCGUGGCUCUGUGGAGUGGGCUUCCUGUGCCUUUCCUGGUUGCCCCUGGGCACGUUUUAGCCACCUGUGGCCCUUUCAUUGAUUAGGGCCUUUGCCCCCUCGAUCUUUGGGGUGGUGACCAGUCUCCGGACUCGAGUCCUGCUUUCCUUUGUUUACAGGCUUGGGGUCUGGACUCUUCUGGCAUUCCCUGAGGCCCUGGAUGAACUGGCUUGCUUGUGUUCAAGGAAGCCUUUGGCAGUCUGUCUUGAACCUCCGAACUUUCUGGCUUUUUUCCUAUCUCCCUUGGUCCCCAAGCUUUCCUGCCCAGAGAGUUUUCUUUUUGUUUUUAAAUCUUGUGAGUUCUGCUUCUCCCAAAGCCUGCCCUCCUCUCCCGGCCAACACCUUGGAAUGUUCACUGCUGCCAUUUUUCAUAGGAAGCUUCCUCCAAUCACUUUAACUGCAGACCUGCCCUCAGACUCCUUCUGAGCCUGAAUUCUCACCGGCAGAGAACUGGCUUGGGGCAGUUCAGAUCCUAGGCUUUUGACUUACCGGUUGGGUGGGACACUUAGCUUUUCGGAGUUCUGGUAGUUUCCUUAUCUAUGAAAUGCAGAAGCUAAUUUUCUUCCUGCUUUCUCUUUCCUGAACCAGCUUUCCCUGGCUUCCUUCUUUACUUUCCCCCUGGACCCUGUGGAUGUGCCUUGUCACUGACUCCUUCACAUCUUCACUGAACAUUCCUUCCUCCUCCCUAAGCCGAUAGAAACCCAGCUCUUCUGAGGCCUCUCCCGGGUGCCUCUCAGGUAGAGAUGAUUCCCAUUAGUUUAAACCAGGCACCUUGGGGCUGCUACCCUCCCACUGUUGCUUGCUAACCCUAUCAAGCUCUCCUUUCCCUUUGAGGCUCCUGCCGUCCACUUCCACCAGCGUCUGUCCCUCUCCUCCCUGUGUUACCCCUCACCUUCUACUCCCCUGGGAUGGCGGGGUGGGCAGGGGGAGGGAGUCUUGAGCCACACUGUGGUCCUGCUUCCCACUUGGGUGUGACCUGGGGCAAAUGUCUUCACCUCUCUGCCUGGUUUCUCCAUUUAUAAAAGAAGGAAAAGAUGGUACUGAUGUCCUGGGUGUCUGUGAGGGUUAAGUCCUUAUAGCGCUUAUCAUUGCCUCCUGUGUAGGACUGUCCUCUGGGUGGGACCUUUCAGCUUCAGUACCAUCAUCAUCAACAACACCAUGAUCCAGCCACUUUCCCUCAUCCUCUGGAUGUUGACAUCUGGCUUACAGACUGUUCAUCCAUCCUGAAUUCUGUUAUCAUCCUGAGAGUGUUCUGUUUUGGUCACCACCUGACUAACAUCCAAAUCCCUCCAUUCUUUUUUUUUUUUUUUUUUGCCCACUGCACAGGGUGUGGAACUUCCCCAACCAGGGAUCAAACCCAUGCCCCCUGCAUCGGAAGCACAGACCACCAGGGAAGUCCCAAAUCCCUCUAUUCUUUACACCACUCAGGUCCAUGGCUAUUACUUCUAAAGGCCUUGUCGUGGCCCUGAACCUGUCUACCCCUGAAAUCGUGCGUUCAGACGGCUCAGAGUCUGGCCACAGCUGUCUCACGGUCACACUCUUCUCACCUCUUCUCUGUCUCAUCUCAUCACAUCCCUGGCUUCCUCAUCCAGCCUGGCCUCCACAGCCCAUCACUGCAGCCACUCCCCAGCCCAUAGUUUCUUUGCCUUUGCAUCUUCCAACACCUGCCUGCCCACAUCUGAUCCCCAGCAAGCCACUGCCCACAGGGAAGCCCAGCCCUUCAGGAGAAACCCUCACAUUGCGUCCACUGCUGCCCUGUGUGCCAGGCGUUUGGGGCCCCAGCCUGGCCUUCCCCGUGCUCCGGUCAGUCGGCUUCCAUCCUGCUCAGAAGCUGCCUCAGACCACCUUGCUUCUCAGACUCCCACCCUUCUACUUUUUUCAGCCUCAGUGUGGCAUAUUGCUCUCUGUUCCUAGAGGAACCAGGACUCCAUCAAAUUCUUCUUCCUCUAACUGUCCUUCCUACUAGUCUGCCAACCCCUGCCCCUUCUCCUAUUGUAAAGUAAGAGGGUCCUUCCUUCUUCUAAGGAGAGUCAGUGGGUUUAGCAACCACUGAUGUACACCUGGGUUUGAAUCCUGGCUCUCCACCUGGGCCAUCUUACUUGACCUCUGUAAGCUCAGUUUCCUUGUCUACAGAUUGGGAAUGUGAAUCCCAAGACCCAGAUUCUUCUUUAUUGAAAGAAUCAAGUGGGCAUGACGUAUGUAAAGCUUUUGCUGCAGUGUCUGGUGCCUAAGUUCUCAAUAAAGGUCACGGUCGUAGUUAUUUUGGUCAUCUGUCUCUUGAGUAACCCAGUUCCAGUAUCUUGGCCUCUACCCCACCCCCACCUCCAGCCAUUGGUUCCUUCUUAAGAGCAUUUCUGAAUCCAUACUUGUCUCAUCUUAAAUAACAAACAAACCCCAGGCAGCUCACCUUGACCCCAUGUGCCCCGAGAGUUUUCUCUCCUUAAAAUAACAAAUGUUGGGAAAGGAUGGUUGACACUCAGUCUCUACCUCCUCCCCUUGUCACCUCCCCCCUCCCCCUAGACCUCUGGCAUUUUGCAUCUGUUUAGUCCCUGUCUCCUGCAGUUUGUUUAGGUUCAUGUCCACUUAGUUGGUGAUGCUCUCCAACCAUCUCAUCCUCUGCUGCCCCCUUCUCCUUUUGCCUUCGGUCUUUUCCAAAGAGUCAGCUCUUUGCAUCAGGUAGC